rnacentral:rRNA from 1 species
GAUGAACGCUGGCGGCGUGCCUAAUACAUGCAAGUCGAGCGAACGGACGAGAAGCUUGCUUCUCUGAUGUUAGCGGCGGACGGGUGAGUAACACGUGGAUAACCUACCUAUAAGACUGGGAUAACUUCGGGAAACCGGAGCUAAUACCGGAUAAUAUUUUGAACCGCAUGGUUCAAAAGUGAAAGACGGUCUUGCUGUCACUUAUAGAUGGAUCCGCGCUGCAUUAGCUAGUUGGUAAGGUAACGGCUUACCAAGGCAACGAUGCAUAGCCGACCUGAGAGGGUGACCGGCCACACGGGAACUGAAACCCGGCCCAGACUCCUACGGGAGGCAGCAGUAGGAAAUCUUCCAAAAUGGGCGAAAGCCUGACGGAGCAACGCCGGGUGAGUGAUAAAGGUCUUCGGAUCGUAAAACUCUUUUAUAGGGGAAAAAAAUAUGUGAAAGAAACUGUGCACAUCUGGACGGUACCAAAUAAAAAAGCCACGGCUAACUCCGUG